CCGAGGCGAUCAAGCAGGGCGGCACGCGUUAAGCUCGGCGCGUGUAAAACUGCGUAAACUGCUGGAACCCGUAAAGCCCUCGCCACCACAACGUAGCUGGUAACGGCAAGCGUGAAGGUUUGAAAAGGUCAGGGAUAUGUCGGCAAUCAGCAGCCAAGCCCCUCGAAGUUGAGGGGAAGGUUCAGAGACUAGACACGCAGCGGUGUGCAAUUGCACAUUGAUGGUAUAGUCCACUCCCAGGCGAAAGUUUGGG
rnacentral:ncRNA from 1 species